ACAAAAUUACACGGAAAAAAAUUCGUCCUAAAUCAAGAAUAGAUAUUCUCAUAUAUAAGCAAGAAUGUCAUAAUUUUGCUAGGAGACUUUUAGUCUCGACUUGAUUGAAUUUAUAUCGAUGUACAUAUUAACUUGAACUCAACACAAGACUUAAAAACCUUCUAAGAAGAUUAUAAUAUCGCUUAUAUAUGAGAAUAUCUAUUCUUGAUUCGUAAGACUAAUUUUUUCCCUGUGUAUAUAGUAAUGUUUACUACAAGAUUUUCUCCGUGUGGUGCGGCCGGUUCAUUAAUAGAAGACGAGCCUCUUAUCGCGUUUCCCCCUUGGCGAACUUGCGAGUCCGCCGGUGGAUGCCCGGACGACGAGUAUCCCGCGCGAGAGCGCACCCUAAGCCUGUUUUCGCGGUCGCGAGCCCGCGGGCCCCGCCGAUUUCACCGGAGAACCGGCCGGCUCACGCCGCCACCGCUCGACGCAUUCUCUCGCAUUCGUCCUUAAUACACUACUAUUCCUUAUUGUUGUUAGUUGCGUUACCGUUACAGUGUUGCUCUAUCGUAAGAUAUUAUGAUACAAGAGUAGAGUCGCCCGUUUUGCACGGAGCGACCAGCGAUUACGACAAAUUCCUCUCCUCUUCUUCUUUCCUUCCUCCUCCCUUCUCUUGUUGCCUUCCUUAAAUUUUUUUACAGCCUGACUCUACUACAAAUAUCGCGCGUGGACCUCCGGUAUUCUGCGAGUCGUCUUCGCGGUCUCGUUCCCUCGCGAGAAACGUCCCGACGUUUUCACGCGUCCUCCUCACAAUUCGGGAAACUCCUUCUUUCCUUUUUUUCAUUAACAAGCAACGUCGAAAGCUUACGGAGAUCUCAUAGAACCGUUCGAUGUCGGAUGAAUGCGUCCCUUUCGUUUGGAGACGUGACGGCGGACUCCCGCGAAUUCCGCUCGCAGAAUGAACGGCCCGUCGUCCGCGCGAUGUGCGAAACGCGAAGAAGAAGAAACGGCUCUGACGCGCGUCGGCGCUCGCGCUUCGCGAAUAGGCUGUGAGAACGAGAGAGAGUGUGUGUGUGUAUGUGUGUGCGCGUGUAUGCUAAACCCGGACGAUAAUAUUAUUACAUUUAGAUGAGACGACGAAUAUACAAAGUAGCUACCGAGAGGCGGAUGAUUCGCGCGCGACGCGCGCUCGAGCCGUUCCACGCGCCGUCGAUCGGUCGAUCUCGAUCGUCUCUCUCGACAGAACUCGGGAGACUCGCGACACUACCGUGCGCGCGCGACUUCACCCUCUCCUUUCGACCCUCCGCGAUGCGCGGCGGCGCGAACUCGGCGCGACGGAGAAUGUCUAACGAUUGUUUUCUUCAUCCGGUUCCACGUUUUUCCCCCUUCUCGCCUUCUCUCCUUCUCUCUUUUUUUGUACACAAAAUACCAACUAUCUGUGCUGGAAAAUGCACAUGCUUGUACGCGUCGUAUAUAUCUAUGUAUAUAUGUAUAUGCAUAUGUAUAAUAUUUAUAUAUGUAUAUGGUGUAUUGGUUUUUCUUCUGUUGCAUUAGAGCGCCGUUUAUCUAAAAAUUAGUAUUUAUAAAUAUUUCACCGUUUACAUCUUGCGUAAUAUCGUGUGUAGCGUGUAUGUAGCAGAGUGGGCUUCCUUCUCUCUCUCUCUCUCUCUCUCUCUUUCCUUAUCACGGUGUUUUACAAUAUAUAAUAUAUAUAUAUAUAAUAUGCGCGAAUAUGUAUAAUAUAUAUUUAUAUUUAUAUAUAUAUUAUAUUAAUAUGUACACAAAAUCAUUCUCAUUAUAAGACGUAUGUUUCGCGUGUUGUCGACCAUUUUAGUUUUCUUGCCUUUAUUCCACGCUCAGAGAGUGGACGCUUCGAACAGAUGUGUUUUGGAGGUGGCGAAGCUGCCUUCGAGAACGUCGUUUUUCAACAUCGAUAUUGCUCUACUUCUUCUUCAUUUUCAUCCGCGAGAACCGAGCCGUUUUAUUCACGCGCACGAUACGCGUCGCGAGUUCUGCUCGAUCACGAUAAUCCGAGUUAUCGAAUCCUUCGGUUUUCGACGCGAGGAAUUCCCCGUGUUUACCAAUUACGCGAAUUAAUUUGCCUAAUUUACUCUCGUUGGAAUUUAGUAUCUCCCUGAAAUAAAAUCCGAGACCGGCCGCUCGGAACAAAGUUCGCUCACGUCCGUUCACGCACGCGAACGACAAUUUGUCGGACGUUCAAUAUUUAAGCGACAUUGUUGCACGAGUUGUAUUCUCGAUUGGUAGAGACGCACGGUGAUAUUAAAAUAUAUUCUGUAAAAAGACGUAGAGAGGGGGGGGGGGGGAAGGGGGGACGUUCUCGAACGUAGCUCUCGGAGGAAAGGACUCGGCAGAGACGCGCUCCAUUCAGAUCCCGACCACUCUCUACCUAAACUAUUUGUUCGUAAUCUCAUUCUCUCUCGUCAAUCGCACGCGCAUGCACACACACGCACUCGCACACAUACGCACACUCGUCACACGCGGGCAUAUCAUGCGCUCACACACCGCUCCAGGCAAUCCGGAAAUGGAUAUAUUUGUUCGACUACACGGUAGCCACAGCGCUCGACCAAUGGAACGAGAGAGACACUUUAAUCUCCCUGCUCAUUUUUUUCUUUAUAUCGCUCCUUAUGACGUGCUUCUUCGUGGUAUUCCCGAAGGUCUUUGUUCUGUUUUACCUCGGACGACCUCGAAGUUGACGAAUUAAUAUCGAACAGCUGAGUUCACCGACGGGUUAAGAGAAAGAUCGACACACACACCGAUCCUCUCACCCCAUUGGACGAUCGUUAAAAACUAGGAGGAUUUCUAAACGAGGAAAGUAGUAGACUCUCGACCGCGACUUCUUCCGUGUCGUUCUUUCCUUUCUUUACUUAUCCUUUCUUCUUCUACCUACCGCCAUAUAUACCGUAUGGAUCCGCGCGACGCGAGGCUGGUUUGCGCACGUCCACAUGAGAUCGUAACACGUACCUUACGCUUUUUUACUUCGCAUCUCGUUUUUAUUUCUUCUUUAAACAUUUUCGCUCGUCGUUCUCCGAAACAAGGAGGAACCGAUUACGAAUUUCUUUCGCGCUCUCUCUCCUCUUUUGUCGCGUCAAUAGGAUGUGAGGAGGAGAAGGAGGGUCGGAAAUUUCGCACAACACGGAGGGUGGACAAGCGGGGGUGGGAUGCGAGAAGCUUUUUCAGGGAUAAGCGUGCAAGACAUCGCACAUCGAGGCACGUGUCUUCCUCUCGUCUUGUUUUUCCUCCUCAUUUCCCGUUUCUCUCUUAUUACUCUCCGUAUUAUUUUCCCUUUCGUCGUCUGACUUCGUUCUUUCGAUCAGCUAUCACAAGUCUGGGUACAAAUUGGCAACACGGGCGUUUCGUAACGACUGCUUCCUCCUCGUUCUACCCUCCGACAAGAACAACGGGCCGAACGAGUCGAGAAUACUAAAAGAGCCGGUCGCGCCGGACGUCAAUUGGGCGCUACAAUUCUGCCCUAAUUCGACUUUUUUUUUCUCUCCUCUGUCUGUAUUAUAGAUGUAUAAUUAUAGACUAUAAUAGUUAGAUAAUUAUAGACUAUAUUAUAGACUAUAAUUUAGACAGCGAAAACGUCUAAACCCAGCGCGGACUGCUUUUGCGAGAGAGCAGAAUGAUAUCGACACGUCGUCGGUGUUCCGCGUUCCUCGACCUCAGCAAAUCAAUUCGACUCGUAGCGUUCGAUCUGAGCGGUGCACGAUGUGCGCUCGUUGGACGAUAAUGACUGAAGAAACGAAAUGAGUGAUCUUUGUUCGGAUAUUCACCGAUUUUCGCAGCAUAUUAUCCAUCAACUUUCUUUCAUUGUGCCUUACAUCCGCUCCCCUUCCCGGUUUCGCAGUAAAUGCAUUUUCUGAAGUGCGAGACGUGAAAAGAGCUUGAAUUCGAAAUAUGAGAGUCUCGUACUUGUGGAAAAUGCGAUUUAACGACCGUCGCUUAAGAAUCCGUUUGAUAUUCGUGCCCGACGAACACGGAACAAUGACGGGCGCUCUGCUCUCGGAUAAAUUUCGUUAACAUUGCCGCGAUCGAAAUCAACGAGGACCGUAAAACGUCCUACAGCGAUAUUAUUGACAACAAUAAUAAUAAUACAAUAACGUAAUAAUAAUAAUUAAUAAUAACUAAUAAUAAUAAUUAAUAAAAACUAAUAAUAAACACUAACGUACACACACUAUGUAUACUCCUGUACAAAGUUUAAUUGCACAAUGCAUCUGAUCUUUUCCGCGAGAACGAAGUACAUCUAAUUUAAUAAUAAUAAUAGUCGUAAGCGCUUGCUCCUCAAGGCAGCUCCACGAGAGAGUGAUACCUGGCAGUAAAGGAAAACAGUUUCGUCGAUCGAGCAGUCGACCGAUUGUCGUAGACACUGAACGGCCUGUUUUCAUUUCCACGCGAUGUAUGUAUGUGUAUGUAGGGUGUGUAAGUGUGUACGUGUGUGGUACGAAGAGCUUAACGAACUACGCGAUAAUUGUCAGUGAGUCACAAGCAACGAAUAUUCUUUUAUUUUUCUCGUUUUCUCUUGUGCGCGCGGUCGCGCCGAAAUCGUGAACAUGGAAUUAUCGUAAAUCACAUUUCUCGGACGCCAGCCGAAUCUCUUAAUCGUUAAAAACGAGGGUUCAUCGAAAAAUGAUUUUCCUUUAUCCCUUUCUAUCUCUCUCCCCUUCUCUUUUCCUUUCUCUCUACUCGCGGUAACUCUUCGCCGUUUUGUUUCUGUGUCACGCGCGGAUGUCAAAGUAUAAAAAUAUUAAUACUAAAACAUUUUCUUUUCCAUUUAAAACUAAACUCAACUCACUUAGUCGACGGUAGUAUUUACGAGAUAUCGCUUUUCUUUUCUUAAUAUUGUGAUGUAUAUACCUCCCCUUCCUUCGAUCUUCGAAUACUUCGUUAUUCGAGACUCGAGUAUUUUUUCUCUUUCUCUUUUAUUAUUUUUCUCGUGAUAUCAACAGGACAUAUCACACGCGUUACGAUGGCUCGAAACUUGACAGACGUAUUUUCUUUGUGUUUUUUUUUCUUCUUUUACGCGUAUACAACGAUGCCAGGUGACACUGAUGAGCUAGCUUGAUUGCAAAAUGGUGUUUACACGCCUAAGGGUAUGUUCACACGCGCGCUCGCAGUGUCCAUUGGAAUUACGUAACUCGGGAGGGAGGGGCUCGGGAGAGGAAGGAAGGGAGUCGCGGAGGUACCCCUGAUUCUUAACACGAUCAUGAUUCACACGCGAAUCCGCGUUGCGUCCUUUCCGCGAUUGGCACGCGCACGACACGCACGUCGCGCCAACAAAUCGUUCCGAUCGCUAAAAACGUGUUGUGUACUCGCGGCCUCGCGCCACCACGUUGCACCGAACAGUAUCGUACAUAAAAACGAAACGGAAGAAA